GUUUCUGUAGUGAGAGGCAGCUUGAUGUACAAGUACCACCUCUUGGACAGGAUGCUGGCCUAUCACAGGGCCUUAACCCCUGGACAGGACGCCAGCCUAUCACAGGGCCGUACCCCUGGACAGGACGCCGGCCUAUCACAGGGCCGUAUCCAGGACGCUUGCCCAUCACAGGGCCGUACCCAGGACGCUAGCCCAUCACAGGGCCGUACCCAGGACGCUAGCCCAUCACAGGGCCGUACCCAGGACGCUAGCCUAUCACAGGGCCUUAACCCCGAUCUUAUCUCCUUAAUGCUGAAUGUCAAGCGGAGACUUGUCAGGUUUUUCUUCGGUUUGACUCGACCAGAGAUUGAAUUCAUAACUUUCCAAUCUCAGGACACUGUAACCACAAGGCCACUGAGUUGGUCUAUGAGGCAGUUAAACAUGACCUUUAUGAAUUAUGAAGCCUUUAUGUGCUUGUUUGGAUUAUAUAAAGUGACGUUAGCUGAUCAAGAUGAUCCAAUAGAAUAAUGCAUCAGAACUCCUAAACCACAGACCUUAUUUUCAGUGUUUAUUCAUAAAAAACACACGUUUUGACCAAUGAGCCUCUGUUAAUAGAGCCCCACAGUGGAGGUGUCAUAAUACCCAUAAAACCUAGCGGUCAAACAAGGAAAUUAGAAACUUUAAAUAAGGUCUGUGUUUCGGGAAGGCUUACCAUGGCGUGAAGUUUUGAUAACCGUGUAAAUCUCUCUAGGACAAGGUGACUUUUAUCAAUAUAUUAGCCUGUAUUUACACUCAGUAAAAAAAAAAAAAUGCUAAUUAGCCUCAAAGAAGACAUCAUGCAAGACUUCAAAACCCUGCAUCUCAUCUCUAGCUGAUAUCUAACAGGUAUUGAUCCUACAGGUCUCCUCUAGCUGAUAUCUAACAGGUAUUGAUCCUACAGGUCUCCUCUAGCUGAUACCUAACAGGUAUUGAUCCUACAGGUCUCCUCUAGCUGAUACCUAACAGGUAUUGAUCCUGCAGGUCUCCUCUAGCUGAUAUCUAACAGGUAUUGAUCCUACAGGUCUCCUCUAGCUGAUACCUAACAGGUAUUGAUCCUGCAGGUCUCCUCUAGCUGAUAUCUAACAGGUAUUGAUCCUGCAGGUCUCCUCUAGCUGACACCUAACAGGUAUUGAUCCUGCAGGUCUCCUCUAGCUGAUAUCUAACAGGUAUUGAUCCUGCAGGUCUCCUCUAGCUGAUAUCUAACAGGUAUUGAUCCUGCAGGUCUCCUCUAGCUGAUACCUAACAGGUAUUGAUCCUGCAGGUCUCCUCUAGCUGAUACCUUUUCUAACAGGUAUUGAUCCUGCAGGUCUCCUCUAGCUGAUAUCUAACAGGUAUUGAUCCUGCAGGUCUCCUCUAGCUGAUACCUUUACUAACAGGUAUUGUGUCAAUUUAAAACCUGCACAAGACAGUUAACAGAAUUGUCCGUUUAAAGAAAUCUAGACAAUUUCUUCAUUACUACAUUUAACUAACAUUAGAUAGUUGAUCCAGAGAUUCUGACCUUUGCCUCGAUUCGUCAGUCUCAUCCAGAUCAUCCAGAGCCGUACCUUCAGGCUCUGAUCAGGCCCUACACCCAAACAAGGGCACUGCGUUCAUCCACCUCUGGCCUGCUGGCCCCCCUACCUCUGAGGAAGCACAGUUCCCGCUCAGCCCAGUCAAAACUGUUCGCUGCUCUGGCACCCCAAUGGUGGAACAAGCUCCCUCACGACGCCAGGACAGCGGAGUCAAUCACCACCUUCCGGAGACACCCGAAACCCCACCUCUUUAAGGAAUACCUGGGAUAGGAUAAAGUAAUCCUUCUACCCCCCC
rnacentral:lncRNA from 1 species